CACUUGUUCUUUAAAUGAGGACUAGUAUGAAUGGCACCACGAAGGUUAUACUGUCUCCUUUUUUCAAUCAGUGAAACUAAUCUCCCCGUGAAGAAGCGGGGAUAAAACUAUAAGACGAGAAGACCCUAUGGAGCUUUAAACAACACAGCAUUUGUCUAAAAUAUUAAAAUAUUUCAGAAUACUUUAACUUUUGUAAACAAUUAUAACUGUAAGUUUUCGGUUGGGGUGACCACGGAGCAUAAUACAACCUCCAUGUUGAAAGAAACAUUUCUAAAUUAAGAACCACCAGUCAAAGCAUCAACAUAUUGACAUCCAUUGACCCAAUAUACUUGACCAACGAACCAAGUUACCCUAGGGAUAACAGCGCAAUCCACUUCAAGAGCCCCUAUCGACAAGUGGGUUUACGACCUCGAUGUUGGAUCAGGGUAUCCCAGUGGUGCAGCCGCUACUAAAGGUUCGUUUGUUCAACGAUUAAAACCCU
rnacentral:rRNA from 1 species